ACACGACUACAUUAGAUACCCGCGUAGUCCUAGCCGUAAACGAUACUCGCUAGGUGUCGGCCACGGUGCGACCGUUGUCGGUGCCGUAGGGAAGCCGUGAAGCGAGCCACCUGGGAAGUACGGCCGCAAGGCUGAAACUUAACGGAAUUGGCGGGGGAGCACCACAACGGGUGGAGCUUGCGGUUUAAUUGGAUUCAACGCCGGAAAUCUUACCGGGACCGACAGCAACAUGAAGGCCAGGCUGAAGACUUUGCCGGAUUAGCUG
rnacentral:rRNA from 1 species